GUAAGGAAUAUUGGUCAAUGGACGAAAGUCUGAACCAGCCAUGCCGCGUGAAGGAUGAAUGCCCUCUGGGUUGUAAACUUCUUUUAUCUGGGACGAAAAAAGGUCAUUCUUGACCACUUGACGGUACCAGAGGAAUAAGCACCGGCUAACUCCGUGCCAGCAGCCGCGGUAAUACGGAGGGUGCAAGCGUUAUCCGGAUUCACUGGGUUUAAAGGGUGCGUAGGUGGGCGUAUAAGUCAGUGGUGAAAUCUUCGAGCUUAACUCGGAAACUGCCAUUGAUACUAUAUGUCUUGAAUGACCUGGAGGUAAGCGGAAUAUGUCAUGUAGCGGUGAAAUGCUUAGAUAUGACAUAGAACACCAAUUGCGAAGGCAGCUUACUACGGGGUGAUUGACGCUGAGGCACGAAAGCGUGGGGAUCAAACAGGAUUAGAAACCCCAGUAGUCC
rnacentral:rRNA from 1 species